rnacentral:rRNA from 1 species
CGGUCCAGACUCCUACGGGAGGCAGCAGUGGGGAAUUUUGGACAAUGGGGGCAACCCUGAUCCAGCCAUGCCGCGUGCGGGAAGAAGGCCUUCGGGUUGUAAACCGCUUUUGUCAGGGACGAAAAGGGACGGGUUAAGAGCUAGUUCCGCUGACGGUACCUGAAGAAUAAGCACCGGCUAACUACGUGCCAGCAGCCGCGGUAAUACGUAGGGUGCAAGCGUUAAUCGGAAUUACUGGGCGUAAAGCGUGCGCAGGCGGUUGGGUAAGACAGAUGUGAAAUCCCCGGGCUUAACCUGGGAACUGCAUUUGUGACUGUCCGACUGGAGUACGUCAGAGGGGGGUGGAAUUCCGCGUGUAGCAGUGAAAUGCGUAGAUAUGCGGAAGAACACCGAUGGCGAAGGCAGCCCCCUGGGACGCAACUGACGCUCAUGCACGAAAGCGUGGGGAGCAAACAGGAUUAGAUACCCUGGUAGUCCACGCCCUAAACGAUGUCUGCCGGUUGUUGGGGAUUUCUAUCUUCAGUAACGAAGCUAACGCGUGAAGCAGACCGCCUGGGGAGUACGGUCGCAAGAUUAAAACUCAAAGGAAUUGACGGGGACCCGCACAAGCGGUGGAUGAUGUGGAUUAAUUCGAUGCAACGCGAAAAACCUUACCUAGCCUUGACAUGUCGAGAAGGAGACGUAAAUGUUUCCGUGCCCGAAAGGGAACUCGAACACAGGUGCUGCAUGGCUGUCGUCAGCUCGUGUCGUGAGAUGUUGGGUUAAGUCCC